rnacentral:lncRNA from 1 species
UUUAUUCUUACUCUUGGGUCUCUUUUAUUGGUUGCUAGUGCUAGCUUUAGAACCCAUAUCCUUUGCCAUAGCCCUCUUGUUCUGAUUACCAUCUUCCCUUUUGUCAGUUUGCUGCUUGGCUGUCUCAGAUUCUGGUGUUGUAUUUUCCUUACUUUGUUGUUUUGUCUGUUGGUCCCCUAUUUUGUUUUGCUGAUUUAUAGGGGUAGCAGAGGCUCUAAGGUGUAAACUAUGGUCAGUGUGUAAAUCCUCAUGCAGAACAUGAGUCAAAUUCCCCCCUUUGGACACCCCUUCCUAUAGGUUAGUAUAGUUCUCCUGACAUCCCCCUUUCAUCCCUUCUUCAACUUCCACAUUAUCAGAUAAAAUAGACAAAUAGUUUUGCUGAUUUAUAGGGGUAGCAGAGGCUCUAAGGUGUAAACUAUGGUCAGUGUGUAAAUCCUCAUGCAGAACAUGAGUCAAAU